rnacentral:pre_miRNA from 1 species
UCUUAUGGGUAAGCAAAGAAAGUAGUUUUUUGAGAUGGAAACUACUUAUGGUGAAGAUGCUGGGCA